CCGCCGCGCCCCGCGCCCGUCCCGCCGCCCCCGCCCGUGGCGGACGGGUGAGUAAUGCUUAGGAAUCUGCCUAUUAGUGGGGGACAACAUUCCGAAAGGGAUGCUAAUACCGCAUACGUCCUACGGGAGAAAGCAGGGGACCUUCGGGCCUUGCGCUAAUAGAUGAGCCUAAGUCGGAUUAGCUAGUUGGUGGGGUAAAGGCCUACCAAGGCGACGAUCUGUAGCGGGUCUGAGAGGAUGAUCCGCCACACUGGGACUGAGACACGGCCCAGACUCCUACGGGAGGCAGCAGUGGGGAAUAUUGGACAAUGGGGGGAACCCUGAUCCAGCCAUGCCGCGUGUGUGAAGAAGGCCUUAUGGUUGUAAAGCACUUUAAGCGAGGAGGAGGCUACCUAGAUUAAUACUCUAGGAUAGUGGACGUUACUCGCAAAAUAAGCACCGGUUAAUUCUGUGCCAGCAGCCGCGGUA
rnacentral:rRNA from 1 species